CGGGCCUAACACAUGCAAGUCGUACGAGAACGCUCCUUCGGGAGUUAUUAAAGUGGCGCACGGGUGAGGAACGCGUAGGUAAUCUACCCUCAGGCGGGGGACAACACUCCGAAAGGAAUGCUAAUACCGCGUAAGACCACACUUACUAAGGUGAGAGUGGUAAAAGAUGGCCUCUUCCUGAAAGCUAUCACCAGAGGAUGAGCCUGCGUCCCAUCAGCUUGUUGGUAAGGUAACGGCUUACCAAGGCGAAGACGGGUAGCUGGUCUGAGAGGAUGAUCAGCCACACUGGCACUGGAACACGGGCCAGACUCCUACGGGAGGCAGCAGUGAGGAAUAUUGGGCAAUGGGCGCAAGCCUGACCCAGCCACGCCGCGUGUGUGAUGAAGGCCUUCGGGUCGUAAAGCACUGUGGGGAGGGACGAAAAAUCUCCGUUCGAAUAGGGCGGAGGCUUGACGGUACCUCCUUAGCAAGCACCGGCUAACUCUGUG
rnacentral:rRNA from 1 species